CUGCUGGUGGCCGACCCCACGUCACCUUGUCUGCUUGAGGCCAGAGGAGCUGUCACAAGUUCCUUCCUUUUGUGGGGGGCCGUUAGGGUU